rnacentral:rRNA from 1 species
CCUGUUGUGGGGGAUAACUAGUCGAAAGAUUAGCUAAUACCGCAUACGACCUGAGGGUGAAAGUGGGGGACCGCAAGGCCUCACGCAGCAGGAGCGGCCGAUGUCUGAUUAGCUAGUUGGUGGGGUAAAGGCCCACCAAGGCGACGAUCAGUAGCUGGUCUGAGAGGACGAUCAGCCACACUGGGACUGAGACACGGCCCAGACUCCUACGGGAGGCAGCAGUGGGGAAUUUUGGACAAUGGGGGCAACCCUGAUCCAGCAAUGCCGCGUGUGUGAAGAAGGCCUUCGGGUUGUAAAGCACUUUUGUCCGGAAAGAAAUCGCGCUGGUUAAUACCUGGCGUGGAUGACGGUACCGGAAGAAUAA